rnacentral:rRNA from 1 species
UACGUAGGGUGCAAGCGUUUGUCCGGAAUUAUUGGGCGUAAAGAGCUUGUAGGCGGUUUGUCGCGUCUGCUGUGAAAUUUCGGGGCUCAACCCCGAACUUGCAGUGGGUACGGGCAGACUAGAGUGUGGUAGGGGAGACUGGAAUUCCUGGUGUAGCGGUGAAAUGCGCAGAUAUCAGGAGGAACACCAAUGGCGAAGGCAGCACUCUGGGACGGUACUGACGCUGAGACGCGAAAGCGUGGGGAGCAAACAGG